rnacentral:rRNA from 1 species
GGUUAAGCGACUAAGCGUACACGGUGGAUGCCCUGGCAGUCAGAGGCGAUGAAGGACGUGCUAAUCUGCGAAAAGCGUCGGUAAGGUGAUAUGAACCGUUAUAACCGGCGAUGUCCGAAUGGGGAAACCCAGUGCAAUUCGUUGCACUAUCGUUAACUGAAUACAUAGGUUAACGAGGCGAACCGGGGGAACUGAAACAUCUAAGUACCCCGAGGAAAAGAAAUCAACCGAGAUUCCCCCAGUAGCGGCGAGCGAACGGGGAGCAGCCCAGAGUCUGAAUCAGCUUGUGUGUUAGUGGAACGGUCUGGAAAGUCCGACGGUACAGGGUGAUAGUCCCGUACACCAAAAUGCACAGGUUGUGAACUCGAAGAGUAGGGCGGGACACGUGGUAUCCUGUCUGAAUAUGGGGGGACCAUCCUCCAAGGCUAAAUACUCCUGACUGACCGAUAGUGAACCAGUACCGUGAGGGAAAGGCGAAAAGAACCCCGGCGAGGGGAGUGAAAAAGAACCUGAAACCGUGUACGUACAAGCAGUGGGAGCACCUUCGGGUGUGACUGCGUACCUUUUGUAUAAUGGGUCAGCGACUUAUAUUCUGUAGCAAGGUUAACCGUAUAGGGGAGCCGCAGGGAAACCGAGUCUUAACUGGGCGUUAAGUUGCAGGGUAUAGACCCGAAACCCGGUGAUCUAGCCAUGGGCAGGUUGAAGGUUGGGUAACACUAACUGGAGGACCGAACCGACUAAUGUUGAAAAAUUAGCGGAUGACUUGUGGCUGGGGGUGAAAGGCCAAUCAAACCGGGAGAUAGCUGGUUCUCCCCGAAAGCUAUUUAGGUAGCGCCUCGUGAAUUCAUCUUCGGGGGUAGAGCACUGUUUCGGCUAGGGGGUCAUCCCGACUUACCAACCCGAUGCAAACUACGAAUACCGAAGAAUGUUAUCACGGGAGACACACGGCGGGUGCUAACGUCCGUCGUGAAGAGGGAAACAACCCAGACCGCCAGCUAAGGUCCCAAAGUCAUGGUUAAGUGGGAAACGAUGUGGGAAGGCACAGACAGCCAGGAUGUUGGCUUAGAAGCAGCCAUCAUUUAAAGAAAGCGUAAUAGCUCACUGGUCGAGUCGGCCUGCGCGGAAGAUGUAACGGGGCUAAACCAUGCACCGAAGCUGCGGCAGCGACACGAUGUGUUGUUGGGUAGGGGAGCGUUCUGUAAGCCUGCGAAGGUGACCUGUGAGGGUUGCUGGAGGUAUCAGAAGUGCGAAUGCUGACAUAAGUAACGAUAAAGCGGGUGAAAAGCCCGCUCGCCGGAAGACCAAGGGUUCCUGUCCAACGUUAAUCGGGGCAGGGUGAGUCGACCCCUAAGGCGAGGCCGAAAGGCGUAGUCGAUGGGAAACAGGUUAAUAUUCCUGUACUUGGUGUUACUGCGAAGGGGGGACGGAGAAGGCUAUGUUAGCCGGGCGACGGUUGUCCCGGUUUAAGCAUGUAGGCUGGUUAUCCAGGCAAAUCCGGAUAAUCAAGGCUGAGGUGUGAUGACGAGGCACUACGGUGCUGAAGUAACAAAUGCCCUGCUUCCAGGAAAAGCCUCUAAGCAUCAGGUAACAUCAAAUCGUACCCCAAACCGACACAGGUGGUCAGGUAGAGAAUACCAAGGCGCUUGAGAGAACUCGGGUGAAGGAACUAGGCAAAAUGGUGCCGUAACUUCGGGAGAAGGCACGCUGGUGUGUAGGUGAAGCCCCUGCGGGUGGAGCUGAGACCAGUCGAAGAUACCAGCUGGCUGCAACUGUUUAUUAAAAACACAGCACUGUGCAAACACGAAAGUGGACGUAUACGGUGUGACGCCUGCCCGGUGCCGGAAGGUUAAUUGAUGGGGUUAUCCGUAAGGAGAAGCUCUUGAUCGAAGCCCCGGUAAACGGCGGCCGUAACUAUAACGGUCCUAAGGUAGCGAAAUUCCUUGUCGGGUAAGUUCCGACCUGCACGAAUGGCGUAAUGAUGGCCAGGCUGUCUCCACCCGAGACUCAGUGAAAUUGAACUCGCUGUGAAGAUGCAGUGUACCCGCGGCAAGACGGAAAGACCCCGUGAACCUUUACUAUAGCUUGACACUGAACAUUGAGCCUUGAUGUGUAGGAUAGGUGGGAGGCUUUGAAGCGUGGACGCCAGUCUGCGUGGAGCCAACCUUGAAAUACCACCCUUUAAUGUUUGAUGUUCUAACGUUGGCCCCUGACCGGGGUUGCGGACAGUGUCUGGUGGGUAGUUUGACUGGGGCGGUCUCCUCCCAAAGCGUAACGGAGGAGCACGAAGGUUAGCUAAUCCUGGUCGGACAUCAGGAGGUUAGUGCAAUGGCAUAAGCUAGCUUGACUGCGAGCGUGACGGCGCGAGCAGGUGCGAAAGCAGGUCAUAGUGAUCCGGUGGUUCUGAAUGGAAGGGCCAUCGCUCAACGGAUAAAAGGUACUCCGGGGAUAACAGGCUGAUACCGCCCAAGAGUUCAUAUCGACGGCGGUGUUUGGCACCUCGAUGUCGGCUCAUCACAUCCUGGGGCUGAAGUAGGUCCCAAGGGUAUGGCUGUUCGCCAUUUAAAGUGGUACGCGAGCUGGGUUUAGAACGUCGUGAGACAGUUCGGUCCCUAUCUGCCGUGGGCGCUGGAGAAUUGAGGGGGGCUGCUCCUAGUACGAGAGGACCGGAGUGGACGCAUCACUGGUGUUCGGGUUGUCAUGCCAAUGGCACUGCCCGGUAGCUAAAUGCGGAAGAGAUAAGUGCUGAAAGCAUCUAAGCACGAAACUUGCCCCGAGAUGAGUUCUCCCUGAGACUUUAAGUCUCCUGAAGGAACGUUAAAGACGAUGACGUUGAUAGGCCGGGUGUGUAAGCGCAGCGAUGCGUUGAGCUAACCGGUACUAAUGAACCGUGAGGCUUAACCUU